rnacentral:rRNA from 1 species
AGAGUUUGAUCCUGGCUCAGAACGAACGCUGGCGGCGUGCUUAACACAUGCAAGUCGAACGAGAAAGCUCCUUCGGGAGUUAUUAGAGUGGCGCACGGGUGAGUAACACGUGGAUAAUCUACCCUCGAGUUGGGGAUAACCUGCCGAAAGGUGGGCUAAUACCGAAUGACAUUGCUUUUCAUAAGGAGAGUAAUUAAAGGUUUACUGCUUGAGGAUGAGUCCGCGUCCCAUUAGCUAGUUGGUAGGGUAAUGGCCUACCAAGGCGACGAUGGGUAGCUGGUCUGAGAGGAUGAUCAGCCACACUGGAACUGGAACACGGUCCAGACUCCUACGGGAGGCAGCAGUGGGGAAUAUUGCGCAAUGGGGGAAACCCUGACGCAGCGACGCCGCGUGGGUGAGGAAGGUUUUAGGAUCGUAAAGCCCUGUCAAGUGGGAAGAAGAAGUGACGGUACCACUAAAGAAGCACCGCUAACU